GACGAACGCUGGCGGCGUGCUUAACACAUGCAAGUCGAACGGAAAGGCCCUGCUUUUGUGGGGUGCUCGAGUGGCGAACGGGUGAGUAACACGUGAGUAACCUGCCCUUGACUUUGGGAUAACUUCAGGAAACUGGGGUUAAUACCGGAUAGGAGCUCCUGCUGCUUGGUGGGGGUUGGAAAGUUUCGGCGGUUGGGGAUGGACCCGCGGCUUAUCAGCUUGUUGGUGGGGUAGUGGCUUACCAAGGCUUUGACCGGUAGCCGGCCUGAGAGGGUGACCGGCCACAUAGAGACGGAGUGACGCCCCGGACUGAUUCGUGCGGCAGGAGUGAGUGGUAUAGCUCGAUGGACGGACGCCUGCUGGAGCAACCCCGCGUGCGGGAUGACGGCCGUCGGGUUGUAAACCGAUUUCGCUUGUCACGGAGCGUGAUUGCCGGAACUGGAUAAGGAGCCACCGCCUAACUCCUU
rnacentral:rRNA from 1 species